GUCAUAUGCAGCAAUGUAUAUGGGUAGGGGAGCGUUCUCAUUGGGUUGAAGCAGUACCGUAAGGAGUUGUGGACAAAUGAAAAGAGAGAAUGAAGGUAUGAGUAGCGAAAAGAAUAGUGAGAAUCCAUUCCACCGAAAGCCUAAGGGUUCCUGAGCAACGAUCGUCGUCUCAGGGUAAGUCGGGACCUAAGCCGAGGCGGAAAAGCGUAGGCGAUGGACAACAGGUUGAAAUUACUAUACCGGUGUGAAUCGUUUGAUCGAAGGAGUGACACAGUAAGGUAGGUCAGCACGCGAUUGGAAGUGCGUGUUUAAGCAUGUAGGUUGAGCUAUAGGCAAAUCCGUAGCUCUAAAAGCUGAGAUGUGAUGACGAGCUGUUUACAGCGAAGUGAUUGAUCCUACACUGUCGAGAAAAGCUUCUAGGUAGAGACACAUCGCCCGUACCAAAACCGACACAGGUAGGCGGGGAGAGAAUCCUAAGGUGCGCGGGAAAACCCUCGUUAAGGAACUCGGCAAAAUGCCUCCGUAACUUCGGGAAAAGGAGGACUCAUGUAGUGUGAAGUGCAGCAACGCAUGGAGCAUGAAUGAGUGGCACAAGAGAG
rnacentral:rRNA from 1 species